CCUACGGGAGGCAGCAGUAGGGAAUAUUGCUCAAUGGGGGAAACCCUGAAGCAGCAACGCCGCGUGAAGGAUGAAUGUUCUCGGAGUGUAAACCCCCUUUGUUAGAGGAGAUAAUGACGGUAUCUAACGAAUAAGCACCGGCUAACUCCGUGCCAGCAGCCGCGGUAAUACGGAGGGUGCAAGCGUUACUCGGAAUCACUGGGCGUUAAGAGCGCGUAGGCGGGAUAGCAAGUCAGAUGUGAAAUCCUAUGGCUUAACCAUAGAACUGCAUUUGAAACUGUUAUUCUAGAGUAUGGGAGAGGUAGGUGGAAUUCUUGGUGUAGGGGUGAAAUGCGUAGAGAUCAAGAAGAAUACUGAUUGCGAAGGCGACCUGCUAGAACAUAACUGACGCUGAUGCGCGAAAGCGUGGGGAGCAAACAGGAUUAGAUACCCCGGUAGUC
rnacentral:rRNA from 1 species